ACAGCCAUAUAUACAUGCUUGCUAGACUUUGAGCCACACAUUUAGUUUUUAUUGCUUAUGAGCAUUGAGUGUGGUCAAGCUGUGUAGAUCCUUAGGAGCUUGUCAUGUGGUUAAAUCAAGAUUCACUUGCACGUUCACUCACACAUGCUACUUCUACUCUGGAAGUACGCAUCCACAUAUAUCCACUCAUUUCCAUCUCCAGAACCACCCAAAAAUAUUCUACUCCUAAUCCGGGAGAAAAUAGCCAAAAACAUUUCUGUUUUCUCCUAUAAAAUAAAUGCUCAAGUUAUUUUGGUUACUACCACUUGCUACAUUAUUUCAAGAGAUGAGUGCUCUAAAAAAACGAGGAAAUAAAAAGGGGCAAGUGCCCGGAACCUCGAAAGAAAAGAAAAAGUGAGACGAGAGGUAAAAAUGGACAAGUAUCCGACAGUAGAAUUAGGGGUACAAGAUACCCACCUAAGAGGAAAGAAAAAGAAAAUGUAGAGCAUCUCAUUCUCCUCAAAAAGUUUUAAAAGAGCAAGAAAGGUAUGUAUCCCCUCAAAAGAGCACAAGUAGAAUUAGACUUUCACCAUUGUUAUCACCAUCAUCACCAUACACCAUUCAUUCGCCACACAUGCACAUCUUGAUUUGACUUAUUGACUUAUUUCUCUGGAUCCAUGGUUUGACUAUGCAAUAAAUGUCUUGUAAGUAUGUAUACUUUAUCUCCCACCUAUGAGCUCC
rnacentral:lncRNA from 1 species